AUUUACAUGAGUGACUGUAUAUUUUUUAGGUCCUGUUUUAAAAAGAUCAUUUGUAAAAUUGCUGUUUAACUCCAGCAAGGAUUUGACCGAGUCUGCAAUGAGAGAAAAUGUUCUGAAACAGUUGGGAUCUGCUCUAGCUGCUAGAGGACUCACAGAUGUGACUCUGCGUUGGUCUCAAACCCCUAAACGGGUGAUCCGGAAAGUGAACGCUAAGAGUCACUGUAGUAAGGAAAAUUAAUGCUCUGGAAAUCAACACUGCCUUUAUUCGCUACAUUCAUAUUCAUUAAAGACAAUGAAUUCAUUCUAAACACAC